AACGAACGCUGGCGGCAGGCCUAACACAUGCAAGUCGAACGCGCGUAGCAAUACGGGAGUGGCAGACGGGUGAGUAACACGUGGGAACCUUCCCUAUGGUUCGGAAUAGCUCAGGGAAACUUGGGGUAAUACCGGAUAAGCCCUUCGGGGGAAAGAUUUAUCGCCAUUGGAUGGGCCCGCGUCGGAUUAGCUAGUUGGUGGGGUAACGGCCUACCAAGGCGACGAUCCGUAGCUGGUCUGAGAGGAUGAUCAGCCACACUGGGACUGAGACACGGCCCAGACGCCUACGGGAGGCAGCAGUGGGGAAUAUUGGACAAUGGGCGCAAGCCUGAUCCAGCCAUGCCGCGUGAGUGACGAAGGUCUUCGGAUUGUAAAGCUCUUUUGGCGGGGACGAUAAUGACGGUACCCGCAGAAUAAGCCCCGGCUAACUUCGUGCCAGCCGCCGCGGUAA
rnacentral:rRNA from 1 species